AUGCUGGGUCAUGCUCAGUCAAACGGUAUGAGGACCACUCUAACUGAUGGCGGAAGGCCCAGAGAAAUGGCCUGCUGGCUGGUAGUAAAAGCUCAGAGGCUGCGCUCAAAAGCUCAAAACUAACUUUUGACUAACAUUAACAGCACUGGCCAGUUCUACUCUGUCACUUGGUGACCUUGGACUGGACAAAGAGUUUGUGAGUAAGGCUGGAUGAAUGGAUGGGUGAUAUCACAAGGAUCCAAUCAUCAAGUACAAGCGUCCUUCAUCCCAACAGGAGUGAACUGCCACUCUCCAGCUGCGAUUAGUGAACUGAUGUCACUUUCAGUGUUACUCACUGAAUUGAAUUUUAAAGGUUAGCCUCAAGAAGAGGAAGCUGUCAGAGGACAACAAUGACACAUUGAAUACGAUGGUUCUAUGCCACCUGCAUGACUUCAGUUGUUUAUGGUAGGCUCAGCGGAAAAACAUUCAUAGUCAUGCCAAUGAAACUGGAGUGGACAUCUUGAAAUGGAGGCGGGGCCACCUGCCCAUCACCAUAAGGAACUGGCAUCAGGCCUACAGUGUCAGGGGCAACCAUUUCAUUGAUUUGAAUGCCUACCUAGAAGAGGCCCUCUUAGGUUAGAACCUGCAUCAGUUGUACCCCGAAGGCACCAUCCUUGAUCAUCCCCAACAAACUCAAGAGCACUGUCUGAAGUUCACCAUGCUACAAGAAGACAUGGCAGCUCUAAAGACUGUGGAGACGGACUAAACCUUUGCCAUCUUCAGCAAAAAGGCUACAUAAGGACCUAAUUCAGGCAAUCAAAAUUUUCUAAAGUUAAUCUCAUGGAAAUUCAGUUCAAUUGGAGAGUGAAUCACGAAGUUGAAGACGUCUAAAGGAAAAUAAAUGGAGAUGCAUUCAAAAUGAACCUCAGGCAGCCAUUCCUCACUCUUGUACUAGUAGUAGUGGCAGUAUUAUCACAUUUACAGAGUAUUCAAAAAAUACCAAAUUAGACAUAGUAGGAAAGCAUCAUAUAAAUAAAUUCUAAAACCCAAGAUAUUUAGAUAAACUGAGAUUUGUGAUUCUUCUUCUGCAUGCCAGCUUUCAAAAAUUGUUCUCCCUUUUCCUUACUCAUAAAACACCCAGACCACAACUACCUACAGCCAUACAGUUGCGGUCUGCUAGCACUAAGCUCCAAGUUCAAAGAAAUAAUUUCAAAUGCAAAUUUAUUGAAAUGUAUACAAAGUGCAAUAAAUCUGUAUUUACAUGUC